UGACAUCUGCACUGCCUAAAUGAAGAACAAUGUGCUUACAAAACAGUUUGGUACAUGCUAAGGAGAAAGCUACAGGUUGAGAAUAGAAUUCCCUGUGUGCCCUUUGUUUGAUAAUCCGGCCAAUACGUCUUGAUAACAAACCUUUAUAUGGUUCCCACAGCCCUUUGAGAGAUGCUGAGCAAAGUUAGAUGAAACUAGCAAUGGGGCAGAUCCAGGACUUUGAAAAAGAGGGGGCCACACAAGGGUUUCAAGAACGGUAAACACGACUCCCUCGGCUUUUGGACUCCACACAGAUAACAAAUCACAGUUGUUACUCUGUACUUGCGCAACCAGCGAUUCCCUUCAGCAGGGAUGACAGACCUCUCAUAUGCUUCCCAUUGAUUCAUCA